rnacentral:RNase_MRP_RNA from 1 species
UCCGCGUUCGAAGGAUCGCAUUCAAAGCUCACGCACAGCAGAAGUCUCUCCAGAUAUCUGCAGACCAACUGCCCACCUCAAAAUGGGCGAAGCUUUGGGAGAAAGUCCCCGGACCACCCUACCUCUCUUCCUUUUUGGAGAGAGAACGUCAGGACCUGCCGAGAGGCAACCGCCAUCAAAGCAACCUUUCACUGCGGUUUUUUUUCUCGCCUCCCACUCUUCUCCGAGUCUACCCCCGCUCCUCGAACUUCGACCUCACUGUCGUCUGCAUUCUCUGCCGAACUCCCCUAUUGUCCGCGUGUCUCGAUGUGGAGGGAGCUUGGGGGAAAGAUUGUUUGUCUGGCAGAUGGAUGAAGAUAUGAGUCCGUCGCCGUGAGGGCAACUGUCUUUCCCCUUUUCUGAAGCGGAGAGGCCUUGGACUUUCGGGGUUUGUUUCACGCAGGGAAGAGAUAGUGAGGGUUCCAUGACAUUGGAAGAUCGACGGGUGUGGGAGACUUGGGGAGUUCAAAGGAGUGAUUUUUGGAGGUUGCGCAAUUCGUCAUAUGUCGAAAGUUAUGCGAUUGCUCUUCCCACCCCCAUAUCGUCGCGUUUGAGGCGGUGUUGGGCUAUGGGGGAGUAACUCGAUGGGGCUUAUUCUUGAGGCGCAG